rnacentral:rRNA from 1 species
UACGAAGGGGGCUAGCGUUGCUCGGAAUCACUGGGUUUAAAGGGUGCGUAGGCGGAUAGGUAAGUCCGUGGUGAAAUCCUGCAGCUUAACUGCAGAACUGCCAUGGAUACUAUCUCUCUUGAAUGUCGUGGAGGUUAGCGGAAUAUGUCAUGUAGCGGUGAAAUGCUUAGAGAUGACAUAGAACACCCAUUGCGAAGGCAGCUAACUACGCGAUAAUUGACGCUGAUGCACGAAAGCGUGGGGAUCAAACAGG